GAUAAACGCUGGCGGCGUGCCUAAUACAUGCAAGUCGAUCGAGAGCGGAGCAAUCCGCGAAAGAGGCGAACGGGUGAGUAAUACAUAAGCAACCUGGCCACAAAGACGGGGAUAACACCUGGAAACGGGCGCUAAUACCGGAUAAGUGAAGGUGGGGCAUCCCACCAUCAUAAAAGGGAGAGAAACGCGAGUGGAUGGGCUUAUGGUGCAUUAGUUAGUUGGCGGGAUAAAGGCCCACCAAGACGAUGAUGCAUAGCCGGACUGAGAGGUUGAACGGCCACAUUGGGACUGAGACACGGCCCAGACUCCUACGGGAGGCAGCAGUAGGGAAUUUUCGGCAAUGGGGGGAACCCUGACCGAGCAACGCCGCGUGAGUGAAGAAGUUUUUCGGAAUGUAAAGCUCUGUUGUAAGGGAAGAAGAGAUAUGGAGGACCAUAUUGUGACGGUACCUUACGAGGAAGCC
rnacentral:rRNA from 1 species